rnacentral:rRNA from 1 species
CGCUAGCUACUAGGCUUAACACAUGCAAGUCGAGGGGCAGCAUGAUUGAAGCUUGCUUCAAUUGAUGGCGACCGGCACACGGGUGAGUAACACGUAUCCAACCUUCCGUACACUCAGGGAUAGCCUUUCGAAAGAAAGAUUAAUACCUGAUGGUAUCUUAAGCACGCAUGUAAUUAAGAUUAAAGAUUUAUCGGUGUACGAUGGGGAUGCGCUCCAUUAGGUAGUAGGCGGGGUAACGGCCCACCUAGCCUACGAUGGAUAGGGGUUCUGAGAGGAAGGUCCCCCACAUUGGAACUGAGACACGGUCCAAACUCCUACGGGAGGCAGCAGUGAGGAAUAUUGGUCAAUGGACGAGAGUCUGAACCAGCCAAGUAGCGUGAAGGAUGAAGGUCCUACGGAUUGUAAACUUCUUUUAUAAGGGAAUAAAACCUCCCACGUGUGGGAGCUUGUAUGUACCUUAUGAAUAAACAUCGGCUAACUCCGUGCCACCAGCCGCGGUAAUACGGAGGAUGCAAGCGUUAUCCGGAUUUA